rnacentral:rRNA from 1 species
CCAAUAGCGUAUAUUAAAGUUGUUGCAGUUAAAAAGCUCGUAGUUGAAUUUCGGGAUCAAUAUUUCGGUCAUGCCGUUGGUAUGCACUGUUAUCAUUGAUUUCUCACCUUCUAAAGAACCGUAAUGCCAUUAAUUUGGUGUUACGGGGAAUUAGGACUGUUACCUUGAAAAAAUUAGAGUGUUUAAAGCAGGCUCACGCU